GAUGCGGCUCCUUAUAUACAGCUCGGUCACCAUGGGGAUGGGCCACGGCCUUUUCCUGUUGGUCCAGACCCCUCCGUCUGCCCAGAGAAGCCGCGACAGGAGAGUGGUGAUUGGUGCAAGCGACAUGGUAUGAGCCUUCUGCAAGCUGGGCAUGCACAAGACCUCGAGAAAAUUCAGCUGUGCUGCCAUCUGCUGGACGUUUAGAGAGAUGCUGCAAGAACCUGUGGGUUGAACAAGGUUGGCAAUGAAGACCUAGCUUUUCACCCAGAAAAUAGCGCCGAGACAGUAUUCACAUGCAGUCUGCUCAUCCAAAAACAAACAAGCAAACAGAAACUACCACGCCCACCGGCCCUUUGGGAGAACAUAGUGUUUGUGUUGGGAAGCACUCGGAUCUGAAUGCUCUGGGAUUGGUGGUCACAGGAAAGCCCGGGGCUACAAUAUGGAAAGAGGCAGAAUUCUCAUUAACACACAUCCAGAUUGGGCACUAGCUGAAAACAAAAUCCUUGUUUUCCAUCACUGCUCACAGGGGAGUAUCAGGGACAGAAGUUAUAGGACCCCUAUUCUCCUAAACGGACUGAUUUUGCUGAAUGGAAAAUUUUAAAAGGUGAAAGGGCGACAUAAAUAAACGUCAGUCUGGGAGCUGGAAGGUGUUCAGAUGUAGCCUUGGUGGGGGUUGAUAUGAGGACGCGAAGCCCUGCCACCGUUUUCCAACUUCUUGAGUCAGUUCUGAUUCAUUUGAAGAGUUUUCUUUUUAGGAGCCACAGACCCUUUUCACAGGAGGGCCUGAACCCAUUUGCAAACACAUUUAUAGAUGUAUUUUCAAAUAAACAAUGUUUAUUUGAAACAGUCCAUUCAACAUUGUUGCAAUUCCUCUACAAUGCACAUUCAGAAGCCUCUUGGGGAACUGGCCAACAACAGAAUGAAGAUCAGAGUAGAAUUGGCCCACCCACCUGGGAAAAUCGGUUCACUGCAGAAGCCUUAGUAAUGGAAACACAUUAACAAAACAAUAACUCUGACCUCAAGGAGCCUCGUAGAUACUUUUAACAAAACUAGUUUCUGUAUUCUGCAAUGAGCUUUUAGUGGUUUUUCUGGAAGAGAUGAAAUCACUUGAUCAACCGUGUGGCCUGCUGGAGGCUGGCUGAUUACAAAAUCCUUGGGGUCCAUGUCAGAUGACUUCCAUAGUCAAUCAGUAUGUUCUAAGGGCAUCCUACAUUUCUUCAAUAACUAAGUCCUCAAGGAGGAGACUGUCUGGUCCUACUGCUAGAAGUCAUAGCUCUCUCCAGGGGUGCUUAGAGAAGAUAUUCCAGCAACCAAGAAAACAGAAUGAGAAAUAAAUAAAAGUCCCCAUAGCAAGUCCUGGAUGGACUGACUGUGUGUCAGAAAAUGA